AGGACGAACGCUGGCGGCGUGCUUAACACAUGCAAGUCGAGCGGAAAGGCCCUUCGGGGUACUCGAGCGGCGAACGGGUGAGUAACACGUGAGUAAUCUGCCCCUAGCUCUGGGAUAGCUCCGGGAAAACCGGGAUUAAUACCAGAUACGACCACUUUAGACAUCUUCUGUGGUGGAAAGAACUUCGGCUAGGGAUGAACUCGCGGCCUAUCAGCUUGUUGGUGAGGUAACGGCUCACCAAGGCGACGACGGGUAGCCGGCCUGAGAGGGCGACCGGCCACACUGGGACUGAGACACGGCCCAGACUCCUACGGGAGGCAGCAGUGGGGAAUAUUGCGCAAUGGGCGAAAGCCUGACGCAGCGACGCCGCGUGGGGGAUGAAGGCCUUCGGGUUGUAAACCCCUUUCAGCAGGGACGAAGCGAAAGUGACGGUACCUGCAGAGAAGCGCGCUAACUACGCGCCAGCAGCCGC
rnacentral:rRNA from 1 species